rnacentral:misc_RNA from 1 species
UUUCUAGAAUCUUGUUAUCAUGAUUUGAAGACGGAAGCGAUCUAAACAAAUUAGCUGCCACCAUCUUUGUAAUUUCUUGCAUUGUCACCUCAUUGAACUUUGAUGUCACAGAAGAAAUAUAAUCAACAAGCUCUAACAAAGUCUGCCUUUUAACGUCCUUCUCCUUAAGAUUUUUAGAGGGAUCACUAAAAUCAAACACAACACAGCACAUGUUCAACUUUCUAAUAAAGAGACUCUGCCUCUCCGAACUAGGAACAUCCCUGAAGUUAGGCAAUGACUCAUAAACCCCAGAAGCCAACAUGGGACCCACUUGACCUGCAACGGUGGCGGAUUUUUUCCCUUGAUUAGAUUUGUUCUGUGGGGCAAUGGUCCCAUUGUUCAUGCGUGAAGCGCCUAAACCCGAAUUGGACUUUGAAGAAAUCGAUGACGACUUUGAGGUGUUUAUGGAAUUCGGUCCAUGGGAAGAAUUCAGAGACGAAAAGGCAUUGACCCCACCGUCAUUGUUCGAGUCAUUAUUCGACGAUUUUGAGGGUUUUCGAGGUAGCUUGCCCAAUAUCUGUUUAAUCAUAUCUACUAAGAGAAGUCCUAACCCUAACCCAAAGCCCUAAUCCUAAUUUAUCUCAACAAUAAAUCAAGGUCUCCACCUUUAAACACCUCAAAACGAAGGCAUUUUCAUA